UACGAAGGGGGCUAGCGUUGUUCGGAUUUACGGGGCGUAAAGCGCGUGUAGGCGGGUCAUUAAGUUGGGGGUGAAAUCCCGGAGCUCAACUCCGGAACUGCCUCCAAAACUGGUGGCCUGGAGCAGGACAGAGGCAAGUGGAAUUCCGAGUGUAGAGGUGAAAUUCGUAGAUAUUCGGAGGAACACCAGUGGCGAAGGCGACUUGCUGGGUCCUUGCUGACGCUGAGACGCGAAACCGUGGGGAGCAAACAGG
rnacentral:rRNA from 1 species